AUUGAACGCUGGUGGCAUGCUUAACACAUGCAAGUCGGACGGUAACGGGUGUAGCUUGCUACAUGCUGACGAGUGGCGGACGGGUGAGUAAUGCAUAAGAACUUACCUUAUGGAGGGGGAUAGCUCAGGGAAACUUGAGGUAAUACCGCGUAAGACCGGACGGUGAGAGGGGGGUGUUAAAGCCUCUCGCCAUAAGAUGGGCCUAUGUUGGAUUAGCUAGUUGGUAGGGUAAAGGCCUACCAAGGCGACGAUCUAUAGCUGUGCUGAGAGGAAGGACAGCCACACUGGGACUGAGACACGGCCCAGACUCCUACGGGAGGCAGCAGUGGGGAAUAUUGGACAAUGGGGGCAACCCUGAUCCAGCAAUGCCAUGUGUGCGAUGAAGGCCUUCGGGUUGUAAAGCACUUUAGUGAGGGAGCAAGGUUGACGUGAUAAUACCACGUUAGCUUGAGAGUACCUCAAGAAUAAGCACCGGCAAACUCUGUGCCAGCCGCCGCCGUAAAAC
rnacentral:rRNA from 1 species